GAUGUGGUUUUAGUUAAAUAUUUAUUAGGUAAUGGAGUACAUCAGUCGAGUGAUAUUUUUCUUCAAUAUGUGGUGUUAGUUUGUAGAGGAUUGAGCUACUUUUUUGUUGACAACUUUGUUGAGGAAGUACUCGUGAAAGAUAGUGAAUGGUUUCCUGGAUCUCCCGAGGCUAUAUAACAUUACUAUAUUUUUUGUCUGCUGCCAUGGAAGCAGGGAUAAAGGUGUGGUAUUUGUGGUCUUGCCUUGAUUACAAGGUGUUCAAGAUUGAGGGAGAAGGUCUUGAUGCAUGGUCGUGUGACUUAGUGCCUGCUCACACGUGGGAGGUCAUAAGGAUGUGGGAAAUGUCAUUAUAUUUAGUUCAGAUGCCAAGGGAGAAGUCACUGGUCAUUGGUAAGUACCAGUAACUAUCAUAAAAUCUACAUUCUUGUACCCUAGGAAUGUGAAUACCUUCUUGUAAUGCUCUUUAUUUUAAUUUUACUUUGUAAAAGGCCAAUCAUUGCUUAUUGUAUUUGUAAUUCUUGGUAUGGUUAUCUAGCCCAUGAUGAUGUGCAUGAGUUACCGCACAAACAUAUUGGACAAGGAGGGAUUGUGGACCGUCUAUGGAGGUGUGCUUCCUAUUUUAAUUAAGUAUCACAAAUCAUUUUGACUGAAGAGGGUAUUUAGUUAGUGAUUCACAAAUCAUGUGUAUCCGUAUUAUAGUGCCAUUAAGUACAAUCAACAUUUUCAGAUCUGCGUCCUUUUCUCUUGUUGUUCUAUCUGGACUCCGCUGUGCUUAUACAUCAUAGAUUCUGAGCCUAAAUCAAUAAUCUGGUAAUAUUAUAUAAACUGUAUGUUGUGUGUUCUAGUACAUGUAUGCCUAUAAGACUGGUUAAUCUAUUUUCAGAUGAUAUGAUUACUUCAAGUAGCUUACUCUUGAGUUACGGAAGAUACUGGGAUCGAAGUUUGUCACUUAUACAUAAUUGUGACUAUAAGCAUCUAGACACCACAUUGUAGGUUGUUUGUACUGCGUACGUAGUUUUCAUCAAUUAUGUAUAAGAAAUCGUUUGUAUGAAUUAUUCUGCUCAUGUCAUGCCAUGCAAGGAUAUUGUGUUUUAUUUUCAAUUAACUGAAGAAAUUUUAAAAUAACCUUUCUGUGGUCAAUCUCAUUGCAGCCAAACCAAUAACCAAAAAUGCAAUCUUGUUUUGCGAAUGUAGUAUAAAGCCCUGAUAUUGCCUUGUUUGGGUUUAGUUGAUCUUUUGUCCUAUGUUUGCUCCAUAGGAGGAUAACCCUCUGUGAAGUGUGGUUCUUAGUUGGUAACUAGUCUAUGCAUAUCUGUUUGUAGUACAUCUUCUAAUUUUUAGAUCAACUCACAUAUCUGUUUGCGCUACAACGUAUAAGUAGUUUUCCUUGUGUCGAAAUUUGCCAAACCUUUUCUUGAAAUUUGCCAAGCAUGCAUGAUAUUUUAUUAGUUUUCUAUGCAGGAGCGAUAUAUGUAAUUUUCUUUCCAAUGUCGCCAUGAUUUUUUGAUACACAAGUAUCUUCUUUUAGAGAUGGGCUCUCACUAAUGCUAACAUCAAUAUGCAUGCCCUGCAAGAAAAGUGGAUCGUCGUAACUGUUUAAGCGGAGUACUCCGAUACAUAGCCUCGCUCCCACGACCCAGGUAACGAUCUCCGCACAAGAAAUUAUUUAACACAAUAUUUCUAGAAGAUAUUCUCAUGUAAUUUGCUAUUGGCACUUACAGUGCAUUUGGUUUUAUAGUGGGUGAUAAUUGAACUUAAACAACAAUAUCUGGUUUCAUAAUGCAUAUAUAUCUGGUCUUUCCUACUAACUAUAUGCUAACAAAACUGUAGCUCUCCAUUUUCUUUUUGCCAAAGCUUGAAUGAUUCUUUUUCAGUAUUUGUUGCAACCAUAUCGUUCCUGCAGUUAGUUAACUGAUUUCGGCUAGAAAACAAAAUGCCCUUGUGCUACUAACUAUAUGCCUUUGCAAUUGCUUUGUUUUCAUCAAGUGCACUUCCUGCUACUAACUGGUACAUGUAUAUUUGCCAGUGCAUAUCUGAUUGUUUCCUGAUUGAGGAAUUUGAAAUGCAAAUCUCUCAAGUUACAAUAAAAACCUGACUUUGGUUGAUGUUCUUAUAAGGAUUGAUAUCUUUUGUAACCAAACUGUCUGCAUUACGUUUUCAAUUUUUAGAUCUUUGGAAUCAAGGGCAACUCAGAAGUUUGAACAAAUUUCCAUUUCUAAGACUACUCAAACAUAUGAGUUCUUUUGCAGGGACAUAUGGCAGAAAGUAGGAAGCCCACAAGUUGAUCUAAGAUGUUUCGGUGAUCGCUUUUGUUCAUAACAUGGUCGACAAUUUUGUUCAUAUGGAAGUUGAUGCUCACUUGGUGAUCCAAGACUGGUCGAUUCCUUAUUAUUUUGUAGUAGUCAAGUGAUCGAACAAUUGUUCUCUUAGGUGCUUGACCAUCAUAUUUUGCAACAAGACAUGUCAUGUAGUUUGACCUUUGUAUUUUCUCAGUGCUUGUAGCUAACUUGAGUUAUGACAACUAAUGAAUCUUCUAUAUGUGUUGAAUAAAUGUAUCGAUCAAUGGCAUUGUUGUGAUGAAUACACUACUGCAAUUGUUUGUAUAUGUAUUGUGUAUUGAACAUGAGUUGAAUAUUAUGAAUGUAAUUUCAUUCAAACUAUGAUG
rnacentral:lncRNA from 1 species